CAAAAAAUAUUCCUCCAAGUCCCCACCUCUCGCCUUGAUGCUGCAUAUAGUAUUAACAAUCAACAUGAAACCAAUCAAAGAGUCAUUUUUAAGCAAAUUUCAAGUUAAAACAAAUUUUUGGAAAAUAAAUACUGAAGCAGACAAAAAGUUAUCUAGUAAAAUUUUAGAAGAAACAACCACAAAUUAUUCUUGGUUAACACAGGGAGCUAAAAAGCAGGUCUAGUCGGAGCAAUCACUUAGGCUUGUGCAUUGUUGAGACUAGGCUUUUUGUAGUUACAUAGAAAACAUUAAUGGAACCUCAUACAAUUUCAACAUUUUCUUUUCUAAAAUAUCAUGAAAUUUUAGACAAAAGUAAAUUUCAGUUUGAAUGUGAGAAACAUAUGAGCAGAUCCAAAUAGCACCUAAUUGUAAUUUUCCAUUUUCCCUCACCCCCAAUGUAUUACACACAAAAAUAAAAUAAAACAAAAUAAAGAAAGACUAAGUAGGGACAGUCAUAUGAUAGGGGCAUUUCUACAAUAAACUUCAACAAUCAGAAUUUCAAUGAAUCCAAACUCCAAAAAUGUCUAACAUGAUACUUACCUUAAUAGAAAUAGUCAUCACACCACUU
rnacentral:misc_RNA from 1 species